rnacentral:rRNA from 1 species
CCUACGGGUGGCAGCAGUAAGGAAUAUUGGUCAAUGGACGAAAGUCUGAACCAGCCAUGCCGCGUGGAGGAUGAAGGUCCUCUGGAUUGUAAACUUCUUUUAUAUGGGACGAAAAAGGGGCUUUCUAGCUCAACUGACGGUACCAUAUGAAUAAGCACCGGCUAACUCCGUGCCAGCAGCCGCGGUAAUACGGAGGGUGCAAGCGUUAUCCGGAUUCACUGGGUUUAAAGGGUGCGUAGGUGGGUUGGUAAGUCAGUGGUGAAAUCUCCGGGCUUAACUCGGAAACUGCCAUUGAUACUAUCAGUCUUGAAUACCGUGGAGGUUAGCGGAAUAUGUCAUGUAGCGGUGAAAUGCUUAGAUAUGACAUAGAACACCAAUUGCGAAGGCAGCUGGCUACACGAAUAUUGACACUGAGGCACGAAAGCGUGGGGAUCAAACAGGAUUAGAUACCCCGGUAGUC